GGGCUCGUGGUCUAGGUGGUUAUGACGUCGCCUUGACAUGGCGGAGAUCAUGCGUUCGAAUCGCGUCGAGCCCAC
rnacentral:tRNA from 1 species